UCUUUCUUUCUUUGACUCACUCAUAUAUUAUUCUAACAUUGAUCUUUCUUAAUUUUUUAUUUUAUUUUUCUUGACAACUCUUAAAGAAUUUAUUUAUUUAUAUAAAAUUUGCUCUUAUCAUGAAUUAGGCUCACCCAAGUCGACUGGCCGACUAAACCCCUUAAUUAAUUAAUUUCAUCCUCUGCUCGCUAUUGUGAAACAGCAGCUGUCCCCAGAAAAUCUUUGAAAGCAGUUUUGGAAGGGAACCCCAAGCCCUAGAAUCCUCCAAUUCAAAUCACACACAGUCACACACAAACAAUAAACAAAUCCAUUUGAUUACGUGCUAAUCUUGUGGACUCCUUCUUCCAAUUAUAUAUACUACUCGUGUUCUAUUCCAGAUGUUUCCCUCUCUCUCCAUACCCUUUGCCUUCUAGAUACCUCUGCGAAACAUGCAUCGAUCACUUUCUCUCUCCUCAUUUUCUCUCUCACUUUCUAUCCUAUUUUUCUCUGAAUUGUUCGGUUUUGUAUCAUCGUUCAAGACAAUGAUUCUUGUAAAUCACGUUUUACCAAACGCAUUUUGAUUUUGUAAUGCACAUGUUCAUGCUUGUAUUGAACAUGUCGCCAUUAGAAAAUUUCACCGUGGAGUUGUCUCUGUUUGGUUCUCGAGAAAAAGAGAUCGAUAAUGAAGGAAGAAUGGAUCUUGAUGCUACGCGUAUGUGCCAUUGAUACUCAGGCAUAAAUUAUUGCAGAACAAUUGAGAACAAUUUUCAAAUUUGUACAAUAGAAUAUUGAGUCCGGACGUUGUAAUUGGGUAAGAGACUACAUCAUUGAAAUAAGGAAAGAGAUUUUACCGAUGCUUUUCUUGUAAGUUCUGGAGUUGCUGCCUCAGCAUUCCUGCCUCUCUUUGCCAGUACUAUUCAAGUACAAUAGCAUGAUUUAGUAAUGUACUCAGAUACUGCUGAUUAGACUGAAUUACUUGGAAAAAUAAGUUUAGGGAGAGGAAAAGAAGAUACUUAUCAAAAAAAAAAAAAAAAGGGGGAGGAAAAGAAGAUAUUUUAAUUUUAUUAAAAAGUGAACAAAGGGUGAGGACCUUGUAGUCUAGCUGAAAAAUGAUGAAAUCCACAAGGUUGAAAAGUUACUUUGAGAAAUUGUCUAAUGAAAAUCAUAUAGAGAACUUGGGAAUAUUGGAACAAAAAGGAUAUUAAAGAAAACAAAAUUUUCCAAGGAUUGGAGUGUGCAGAUUGAAAAAUACAAUAAGAAAAAUGAAAACAGGCUUUAUGAUCAAAUGGUAUUCUUAUUUAGGCUUGGAAAUGUUUAGUAUGAUCAAUGAUGGUGUCUUUAGACUCUUUACUAAUAAACAUGUACUCCGGUCCAAGUAACAUUGCUUAUUGUAUCAUCCCUAGAUCUUGAACUCUGGUUUUUGACUAGUGUUGUAUAUACCCUUUUCACUUAGACUAUUCUAUGUUUUUUGGAGCAUCCAUAACAUGCCCGUUCCACUUCUUCAUUUAAUGUUUUGGCCCUUUUAUAUGCAAUACUCAGUCAUGCAUGUUAGCUUGCUUAACUUUUUUUGAUGCAGAUGGCUUAGCAUAUCAAAUUGAAGUAUCUGAUCAUUUACUCUCAUACCAAUUUGCUUAUUUCUUUUGGUUCUCAACUUAAUUUGACAGAACCCUUUUCCAACUAUUUGGAGUCAAGUUCAUGCUCAGAUCGUCAUAACAAAAGUUGUGUGUCCUGUUGGAUGUUAGGCUACCUAACACAACUUUUCUCUUUCAGGACUUAGGGCCUACUAAAAGUAAGGCUCUAAACACGACAGAACCAUUACAUACAACCACAAAACAUAGAAAAGAUGAACUCGGAGGACUUUGUAUUGAAGAUUACCUUAACCUCAGAACUGGAGUUUGCCGAUUGGUGAUGUUCCUCUUUUGAUUUAUUGUACCGUUCAAUUAUUGACUUCAUGCUGUUCAAAGUAACAUCAAUUGUGUUAGAUAUGUUACAACAAUAUUUGUGAAAGCUUCAUAUUGAACUCUUUGUAACACAAUGCAUGUAUCACUGCAAGAAGAAUAAUUACUCAACAAAUCCUUGAAGAACAAAUGUUGAAAGAAAAUUCAACUAUUAAAAUGGCUUCAUGAAGUAUUUCUUUUGAUUACUCAUUAAGAUUUUCCCGAUUGUUUUUAAGCUCUGUGGAUCACGAACUCAUGUUUAUCUGAAAAUUGGAUGUGGUGCAUUUUCUAGAAAUCAAAUGUUGAACUGAAAAGACUACAUUUAUUGCAUGAUGCACUUUAUUAUGUUCUCCUGUUAUUCCCACACAACUAUGUUUUACUGAGGGUUCUUCUACAACUACCCUCCCAAAGAAAAAAAAAUAAAAAAAUGAAAAUUAAGUUGUAAUGAAAAAUCCCAGUCUAUUUUUGUUUACUUUUCAUUGAGUCAUCUUACACUUUUUUUAUAUUUAAAAAACACCAAUAGGGUGUAGUAGGUACUUGAUCGACAUUUCGAAGCAGAGUUAUUACUUCUUAUAGUUAUUCUUUCAGAUUUGUAUGUUGAGGAAAACCAAGUCUAUAAGGUUGUUAUGUUUGAAGCUGAGUUAUUGUUCAUUAUCAUUAUUCCUCACACUAUUUGCCUUUGUUAUGCUAAUCUAGCCAAGUUCACAAUAGCACUUUCCAAUCCAAUCUGAUAUUAUUCAGCUGGAUUGGCUUUGUACUUUCCUUUUUUGUUUGUUUGUUUGUUUUUUUGGUUUUUUUUCUCCCUCCCUUGAAUGUGUUUUCUUAUAAUCCGUUUGUUCAUCAAGUACUUCUUUUUAAUUAAAGAUAUUGUCAUGGUAUUGCAUUUUUUUUUUUUUUUUUUUUUGAUAAGUAAAAAAUAUAUUAGAAAAACGUUCAAAAGGGGAAUGCGUCCCUAAUACACAAAAAUGAGAGAGCAAAAGCCAAACCUACGGACCAAUAGAGUCUAAUAGAACUAAAAAAUCAUUAA